GGCGAACGGGUGAGUAAUGCAUCGGAACGUGCCCAGUCGUGGGGGAUAACGCAGCGAAAGCUGCGCUAAUWCCGCAUACGAUCUGUGGAUGAAAGCGGGGGACCGUAAGGCCUCGCGCGAUUGGAGCGGCCGAUGUCAGAUUAGGUAGUUGGUGGGGUAAAGGCUCACCAAGCCGACGAUCUGUAGCUGGUCUGAGAGGACGACCAGCCACACUGGGACUGAGACACGGCCCAGACUCCUACGGGAGGCAGCAGUGGGGAAUUUUGGACAAUGGGCGCAAGCCUGAUCCAGCAAUGCCGCGUGCAGGAAGAAGGCCUUCGGGUUGUAAACUGCUUUUGUACGGAACGAAAAGGCUCUGGUUAAUACCUGGGGUUGAUGACGGUACCGUAAGAAUAAGCACCGGCUAACUACGUGCCAGCAGCCGCGGUAAUACGUAGGGUGCAAGCGUUAAUCGGAAUUACUGGGCGUAAAGCGUGCGCAGGCGGUUUUGUAAGACAGGCGUGAAAUCCCCGGGCUCAACCUGGGAAUUGCGCUUGUGACUGCAAGGCUGGAGUGCGGCAGAGGGGGAUGGAAUUCCGCGUGUAGCAGUGAAAUGCGUAGAUAUGCGGAGGAACACCGAUGGCGAAGGCAAUCCCCUGGGCCUGCACUGACGCUCAUGCACGAAAGCGUGGGGAGCAAACAGGAUUAGAUACCCUGGUAGUCCACGCCCUAAACGAUGUCAACUGGUUGUUGGGUCUCUUCUGACUCAGUAACGAAGCUAACGCGUGAAGUUGACCGCC
rnacentral:rRNA from 1 species